GAUGAACGCUGGCGGCGUGCCUAAUACAUGCAAGUCGAGCGAACAGACGAGGAGCUUGCUCCUCUGACGUUAGCGGCGGACGGGUGAGUAACACGUGGAUAACCUACCUAUAAGACUGGGAUAACUUCGGGAAACCGGAGCUAAUACCGGAUAAUAUAUUGAACCGCAUGGUUCAAUAGUGAAAGACGGUUUUGCUGUUACUUAUAGAUGGAUCCGCGCCGCAUUAGCUAGUUGGUAAGGUAACGGCUUACCAAGGCAACGAUGCGUAGCCGACCUGAGAGGGUGGGAGGCCACCCGGGAACGGAACCGCGCCCCAGCCUCCGAGGGGAGGCGAGAGGGGGGACUCUUCGGCAAGGGGCGAAAGCCUAACGGAGCAGGCCGGCGGGAGUGAAAAUGGUCUUGGAACCGAAAACUUCUUUUAGUGGGAAAAAAAAAAUGUGUAAGUAAAUAGGCCCUUCUUGAGGGUACCUAAUCAAAAAGCCACGGCUAACUAGGUC
rnacentral:rRNA from 1 species